rnacentral:rRNA from 1 species
AUGAUUGACCUGAAUGAGUUGCAUGACGAUACAAACUGCGAAGCCCCUGUAAGAGAUGUCGUGGGAGCUCAAGUCCCUGCGUACUGCACGCAACCUGGUGCCUCACAAACAAUUGGGGGAUGUAAUGAAGUUGUAGUUGAAUCUCCUAAUCCCACAACUGUCCAACGUGUUGCUGCUCAACCCGAAGCCAUCCAUGCAGAUAGUGACACUUUUAAUGACACGACUAUAGUUGGUGAAACAGGGGGAACUAUUGCACAAGAUGGUUUUGGAAUAGAUAAUGAUGAUGAAGCUUGGUCCCAGCCGAAAGAACCAACCAUAGGCAUGAGGUUCAAUACUCUAGAGGGUGCCCAAGAACACUACAAUGCCUAUGCUAUGCGCCUUGGGUUUUCAAUCAAGAUGAACACCUCGAGGAAAUCUACUCUCACUGGCCAGCUGGAAAAGCAACAGUUUGUUUGCAACAAGUUCAGAAAAGCAAAAGUGGACGAUGGUGGUGCAGAAGUUGCCCCUACCCUAGAUGAGAUUCCAGAUAUUUGCGAACAUGCAGAUGAUGAUGAUGCAUAUGAUGAUAUAGUCUUCAUUGAUGAUCAGUGUGCAAAAAAGAAGAAAAGAAAGAAACGAAAACGAGAUACAAUAGUGCACAUAGGGUGCAGGGCAAGGAUGGUUGUGAAGCUAAAGGAUGGUUGGUGGGAAGUCAUUUUCUUCAUUGCUGAACACAAUCAUGCACUAGUUGACAAGCCAUCACUCACAAAGUACCUGGCGAUCGCACCAAGGGAUCCCUCCAGAAGAGAAGCUAUUCCUAACAAAUCUUCAUAA